AUUGAACGCUGGCGGCAUGCCUUACACAUGCAAGUCGAACGGCAGCACGGGUGCUUGCACCUGGUGGCGAGCGGCGAACGGGUGAGUAAUACAUCGGAACGUACCUUAUCGUGGGGGAUAACGCAGCGAAAGUUGCGCUAAUACCGCAUACGCCCUGAGGGGGAAAGCGGGGGACCGUAAGGCCUCGCGCGAUUAGAGCGGCCGAUGUCUGAUUAGCUUGUUGGUGAGGUAAAAGCUAACCAAGGCGAUGAUCAGUAGCUGGUCGAAGAGGACGAUCAGCCACACUGGGACUGAGGCACGGCCCAGACUCCUACGGGAGGCAGCAGUGGGGAAUUUUGGACAAUGGGGGCAACCCUGAUCCAGCAAUGCCGCGUGAGUGAAGAAGGCCUUCGGGUUGUAAAGCUCUUUUGUCAGGGAAGAAACAGCAGCUCUAACACAGUCUGCGAAUGACGGUACCUGAAGAAUAAGCACCGGCUAACUACGUGCCAGCCGCCGCCGUAA
rnacentral:rRNA from 1 species